rnacentral:misc_RNA from 1 species
CUUUCCUUUGCGACAACGCAGUCCGCACAGUUCUCCCCUGCCAAGACAGACAGUGAAGAAUCCGCAACGGAUGCGAUAGUCGUUCUUUCCGAGGCACAAGGCAACCCGACGGGGCAAUGAAGGGGAAAACCCCCCGCCCACAUAACUUUCCGCAUCCAAAGGCACAAGCAACAUACACAUGGGCCAACACAGCCACGACACGGCCUGCGUGGAACACGUGCAACACUACAAGGUCCGCCCCGUGCCGUGACAGGCAAAGGGCAGAUAGGGGCAUAGGGAUCAAUUCGAUUUCCACCGUAGUGGGUAAGCAACACAGGAACCAAGCAUCACC